rnacentral:rRNA from 1 species
GACGGAGGAUGCAAGUGUUAUCCGGAAUCACUGGGCGUAAAGCGUAUGUAGGUGGUUUAAUAAGUCAACUGUUAAAUCUUGAGGCUCAACCUCAAAAUCGCAGUCGAAACUAUUAGGCUAGAGUAUAGUAGGGGUAAAGGGAAUUUCCAGUGGAGCGGUGAAAUGCGUAGAGAUUGGAAAGAACACCGAUGGCGAAGGCACUUUACUGGGCUAUUACUAACACUCAGAGACGAAAGCUAGGGUAGCAAAUGGG